rnacentral:rRNA from 1 species
GCAGUAGCCGCGGUAAUACGUAGGUCCCGAGCGUUGUCCGGAUUUAUUGGGCGUAAAGCGAGCGCAGGCGGUUAGAUAAGUCUGAAGUUAAAGGCUGUGGCUUAACCAUAGUACGCUUUGGAAACUGUUUAACUUGAGUGCAAGAGGGGAGAGUGGAAUUCCAUGUGUAGCGGUGAAAUGCGUAGAUAUAUGGAGGAACACCGGUGGCGAAAGCGGCUCUCUGGCUUGUAACUGACGCUGAGGCUCGAAAGCGUGGGGAGCAAACAGGAUUAGAUACCCGCGUAGUCCCUGUCUCUUAUACA